UUCAGAUCCCAACAAAAGCACCAUGAAAAAGGCUUACGGAGACCUUCCUGGAGGAAGAAUGGACCCAGUUCUAUAGCUGCUGAAGAGUUGCAGAGCUGCAGAGCUAUUGAGGCGAACUAGCUUUCAGAGUUAAGUUGAAGCACAGAGGUGAAGGGUAAGGUAGCUUCCAGAAGGACAGCAUGAUGAAUGGACAGAUAGCAGCUCAGGUAGACCACAUCUCAGAAGGGAGUGUGCACAGGUGAAAGCCCUGGGAAAGGCAGGAGGUUUCUGUCCCUGCUACACACACCAGAUGAGAAGACAGGUUGCUGGAGGCAAUCACUACCUCAGCCUUCAGUGUCCUCCUGUAUCUGGGGUCCAGAUCAUCAAAGAUCUCCUUCUUCCACCCAUGGUGCUACUGCCUACUCCCGUUUGCUCCAGGCAACACUAAAGUUAAGAUGCAGAUAAUUCAUCUGGUGAAGACUUGAAAUUGAUGAAGGAUGGAAGAAACUAUAAUCAGAGUCCCUUGCCAGUAAUAAAUGUUAUGGAAACAGUAAGAAACUGCUGAGAAAGGAAACAAACCAGCCAAACUGCUGAGAAGACUCUUGUACCUGUCAGGCUGCCUGUGAUGUGCCUUUCAUGCAUCCUACCAUGUUGGAUGGGGUUUUCAGUGAUGUAGCUGCCUUUGCAUCACUUGCAUUUGCUGCUAGCAACCCAAAUAAAUCAUUGUCUC
rnacentral:lncRNA from 1 species